GCAGGGGUCAUUCUCCAGUCAAGUCGCACGACGAGAAGAGACGGGAGGAGGGAGCCAGCCGCAUCCUAGCUGGUCUGACGAUUGGCCAUACGUCUGUCGCUGCGCCAGUCAACGACACGUCACAGGAAGGGAGAUGGCGGCCGCCUCCCUCCUUCCUUCGACCUCUCUGUUUUCCCGCCCUUCCCUUCUGCCCCGCGUAAGAGGAGACCUAGUGGGACGGGAGAAAGAAAAGCACCAUGAGGAUGACCGCCGCCUCCUGGCUCAGCCACGCUCAGUCAGACCGCCCCCGCUCCCCCAACAGAAUCCACCGGCCUGACAGCAGCCUCGCGCGUCCAGCCACGAGACACUUCAAAGCCUCCGGGCAGUAACAGAGAAGGCUGGUCCCUGAGUAGUUCCCAGAGGAGGCAGUCGCAACUGCAGUCCAACCUCUCAUGAUCUCAAAAGGUGAUGGGGCUCAUAGCGAAGGUGGUAAGCAGUUUCAUGUAGACAUUAAACAACAUCAGAGACAACAUGGAGCCCUGAGAGACACCAUACCAAAGUUCAGAUUUUGUAGAACAAUAGUCUCGGAAGGACACAAGCUGGAAUCUGUAACCACUACAAUGCAGUGCGUCCUACCCCCAACCUCCUCAGACACUCCAGAAGGAUACUAUGGUCGACAGUAUUGAAAGCUUCCAAGAGGUCCAAAAGGACCAACAGAGUCACACUUCCUCUGUCAAUUCCCAAUACCUGUUGUUUAAAUUUUUUUUAAAGCUUUCAAGCAACCUUCAAGAAGCUGCUGCCAAUUUGUGAAGACAAUACUAAGCUAGAUUGACCAAUGGUCUAAUUCAGUAUAUGGCAGCUUCCUAUGUUCCACUGUCCAAAAAGCAGUCAAAAUGAAUAGAAGAAAUGAAGGUGUGUAAUGAAUCUUCAUAGGGAUUCACUGAGGGAAAGUUAUUAUACACCAAAGAAUGCAAACACUUGAAAAAUAGUGACCACACAUUUUGCUCCAUAACUCCACUUAUAGAAGGGCUAGAGCUUAGUUUUUUUUUAAAAAUGAAAGCUGGGAAUCUGGGGAUUAAUAGGAGACACCUGAAUCUCAAAUCGAUUCGAAUCAGGCGCAAUUCGAUUUGGAUCCGAAUCUAGCCAAUGGACCACAGGGGUGGUUUGUUUUGUCUCCAAAUCAGCUAGAUUCGGGUACAAAUCGAUUUGUACCCGAAUCAGCUUGCACAUCUCUACAAAAAACAGCCAGACAGUUCAUAUUGGAACUGUGGAGGUUUGUUUGUUUUAACUCUUUCCCCUUCUUUCAUUUUCUCACCAAAAUCCACCUUCCCAG